rnacentral:rRNA from 1 species
UACAGAGGGUGCAAGCGUUGUUCGGAAUUAUUGGGCGUAAAGGGAGUGUAGGCGGCUUGUUAAGUCUUCUGUGAAAUCUACGGGCUUAGCCUGUAACGUGCAGAGGAAACUGGCGAGCUUGAGUGUCGGAGAGGAUAGGGGAAUACCCGGUGUAGAGGUGAAAUUCGUAGAGAUCGGGUGGAACACCAGUGGCGAAGGCGCCUGUCUGGCUGACAACUGACGCUGAGGCACGAAAGCCAGGGGAGCGAACGGG